rnacentral:rRNA from 1 species
GAUGAACGCUGGCGGCGUGCCUAAUACAUGCAAGUCGAGCGAACAGACUAUGAGCUUGCUCCUCUUACGUUAGCGGCGGACGUGUGAGUAACACGUGGAUAACCUACCUAUAUUACUUGGAUAACUUCGUGAAACCGUAUCUAAUACCGGAUAAUAUAUUGAACCGCAUGGUUCAAUAGUUAAAUACGGUUUUUCUUUCACUUAUUGAUUUAUCCUCUCCGCAUUAGCUAGUUGGUAAGGUAACGGCUUACCAAGGCAACGAUGCGUAGCCGACCUGAGAGGGUGAUCGGCGACACUGGAAGUGAGACACGGUAAAGACACCUACGGGAGGAAGCAGUAGGGAAUAGUCCGCAAUGGGCGAAAGCAUGACGGAGCAACGCCGCGUGAGUGAUGAAGGGCUUCGGAUCGUAAAACUCUGUUAUGAGGGAAGAAAAAAUGUGUAAGUAACUAUGCACGUCUUGACGGUAACUAAUCAGAAAGCAACGGCUAACUACGUG